rnacentral:rRNA from 1 species
UACGUAGGGACCAAGCGUUGUUCGGAUUUACUGGGCGUAAAGGGCGCGUAGGCGGCUUGACAAGUCACUUGUGAAAUCUCCGGGCUUAACUCGGAACGGCCAAGUGAAACUGUCAUGCUAGAGUGCAGAAGGGGCAAUCGGAAUUCUUGGUGUAGCGGUGAAAUGCGUAGAGAUGUGGAGGAACACCGAUGGCGAAGGCAGCCUCCUGGGCCAACACUGACGCUCAUGCACGAAAGCGUGGGGAGCAAACAGG